AACGCACCUUGCGCCCCUUGGCAUUCCGAGGGGCACGCCUGUUUGAGUGUCGUGAACUCCUCCACCCUCUACCUUUUUCGAAGGGCAUUGGGCUGGGAUUUGGGAGCUUGCGGGUCCCUGGCCGAUCCGCUCUCCUUGAAUACAUUAGCGAAGCCCUUGCGGCCUUGGUGUGAUAGACAUCUACUCCUCGGCUUAGCGAACAUAUGGGAAUCGCUUCCAACCGUCUCGCAAGAGACAAUCACUUCAAACUUGACCUCAAAUCAGGCGGGACUACCCGCUGAACUUAA
rnacentral:misc_RNA from 1 species